AGCGAACGCUGGCGGCAGGCCUAACACAUGCAAGUCGAACGAACCCUUCGGGGUUAGUGGCGGACGGGUGAGUAACACGUGGGAACGUGCCUCUAGGUUCGGAAUAACUCAGGGAAACUUGUGCUAAUACCGAAUGUGCCCUUCGGGGGAAAGAUUUAUCGCCUUUAGAGCGGCCCGCGUCUGAUUAGCUAGUUGGUGAGGUAAUGGCUCACCAAGGCUACGGUCAGUAGCUGGUCUGAGAGGAUGACCAGCCACAUUGGGACUGAGACACGGCCCAAACUCCUACGGGAGGCAGCAGUGGGGAAUCUUGCGCAAUGGGCGAAAGCCUGACGCAGCCAUGCCGCGUGGAUGAUGAAGGUCUUAGGAUUGUAAAAUCCUUUCACCGGUGAAGAUAAUGACUGUAGCCGGAGAAGAAGCCCCGGCUAACUUCGUGCCAGCCGCCGCCGUAAGAC
rnacentral:rRNA from 1 species